rnacentral:rRNA from 1 species
AUUGAACGCUGGCGGCAGGCUUAACACAUGCAAGUCGAGCGGGGUGAUGGUGCUUGCACUAUCACUUAGCGGCGGACGGGUGAGUAAUGCUUAGGAAUCUGCCUAUUAGUGGGGGACAACAUCUCGAGAGGGAUGCUAAUACCGCAUACGUCCUACGGGAGAAAGCAGGGGAUCACUUGUGACCUUGCGCUAAUAGAUGAGCCUAAGUCGGAUUAGCUAGUUGGUGGGGUAAAGGCUUACCAAGGCGACGAUCUGUAGCGGGUCUGAGAGGAUGACCCGCCACACUGGGACUGAGACACGGCCCAGACUCCUACGGGAGGCAGCAGUGGGGAAUAUUGGACAAUGGGGGGAACCCUGAACCAGCCAUGCCGCGUGUGUGAAGAAGGCCUUAUGGUUGUAAAGCACUUUAAGCGAGGAGGAGGCUCUUUUGGUUAAUACCCAAGAUGAGUGGACGUUACUCGCAGAAUAAGCACCGGCUAACUCUGUGCCAGCCGCCGCCGUAA